rnacentral:rRNA from 1 species
ACGGGGUGCAGCAGGGGCGAAACCUUUACACUGCACGACAGUGCGAUAAGGGGAUCCCAAGUGCACAGGCAUAGAGCCUGUGCUUUUCUGAACCGUAGGGAGGUUCAGGAACAAGGGCUGGGCAAGACCGGUGCCAGCCGCCGCGGUAAUACCGGCAGCCCAAGUGAUGACCGAUUUUAUUGGGCCUAAAGCGUCCGUAGCUGGCCGCGCAAGUCUAUCGGGAAAUCUAUCCGCUCAACGGAUAGACGCCCGGUGGAAACUGCGUGGCUUGGGACCGGAAGGCGCGAAGGGUACGUCCGGGGUAGGAGUGAAACCCCGUAAUCCUGGACGGACCGCCGAUGGCGAAAGCACUUCGCGAGGACGGAUCCGACAGUGAGGGACGAAAGCUAGGGUCUCGAACCGGAUUAGAUACCCGGGUAGUCCUGGCCGUAAACGAUGUGGGCUUGGUAUUGGGGCGGCUACGAGCUGUCCCAGUGUCGUAGGGAAACCGUUAAGCCCACCGCCUGGGGAGUACGGUCGCAAGGCUGAAACUUANAGGAAUUGGCGGGGGAGCAC